rnacentral:rRNA from 1 species
CAGAGUUUGAUCCUGGCUCAGAACGAACGCUGGCGGCAAGCCUAACACAUGCAAGUCGAACGGACAAUUAUUUAUAGCCUCUGGCUAUAGGAAAUUGUUAGUGGCAGACGGGUGAGUAAUGCGUAGGAAUCUACCUAGUAGUACGGAAUAGCCAUUAGAAAUGGUGGGUAAUACUGUAUAAUCCCCGAGGGGGAAAGAUUUAUCGCUAUUAGAUGAGCCUACGUUAGAUUAGCUAGUUGGUGAGGUAAUGGCUUACCAAGGCUAUGAUCUAUAGCUGGUCUGAGAGGACGAUCAGCCACACUGGAACUGAGAUACGGUCCAGACUCCUACGGGAGGCAGCAGUGGGGAAUAUUGGACAAUGGGCGAAAGCCUGAUCCAGCUAUGCCGCGUGAGUGAAGAAGGCCUUCGGGUUGUAAAACUCUUUCAAUAGGGAAGAUAAUGACGGUACCUACAGAAGAAGUCCCGGCAAAC